rnacentral:misc_RNA from 1 species
AGGCCUUCUUCCUGAAGCCGGAUCAGGGCCUCAUGAACCGGGGUCCGGCUCAUGCCGAGCCGGAGCGCGAUUUCCUGCUCCGAGCCCUGGUAGCCGGGCGCGAAGGCGUUGUCGCGAAUGGCGUUCUUCAGCGCCUGAUAGGCGUCGGCGACAAGCGAGGGUGCCUUGGCAAGCGGCUCUGCGGUGGGCGUUUUGAGGCGACUCAUGUCCGUUC